rnacentral:rRNA from 1 species
ACAGCAGUCGCCGCGGGAAUACGAAGGGUGCAAGCGUUAAUCGGAAUUACUGGGCGUAAAGCGCGCGUAGGUGGUUUGGUAAGAUGGAUGUGAAAUCCCCGGGCUCAACCUGGGAACUGCAUCCAUAACUGCCUGACUAGAGUACGGUAGAGGGUGGUGGAAUUUCCUGUGUAGCGGUGAAAUGCGUAGAUAUAGGAAGGAACACCAGUGGCGAAGGCGACCACCUGGACUGAUACUGACACUGAGGUGCGAAAGCGUGGGGAGCAAACAGGAUUAGAGACCCCUGUAGUCCCUGUCUCUUAUAA